rnacentral:rRNA from 1 species
GUCUGCGGCCAUAUCCACUGGAAAGCACGAUUUCCCGUCCGAUCAAUCAUAGUUAAGCCAGUGAGAGCCUUCAUAAGUACUACGGUGGGAGACC